GGCCCAUAUUUGAAGUAGAGUGGAUAAGAAGGAUCAUCUGACCCUACUAAACUACUCUACUUCGCGUUUGUGCGC
rnacentral:pre_miRNA from 1 species